UACAGAGGUCUCAAGCGUUGUUCGGACUCAUUGGGCGUAAAGGGUGCGUAGGUGGCGCGCUAAGUCGGGUGUGAAAUUUCGGAGCUUAACUCCGAAACUGCAUUCGAUACUGGCGUGCUUGAGGACUGGAGAGGAGACUGGAAUUCAUGGUGUAGCAGUGAAAUGCGUAGAGAUCAUGAGGAAGACCAGUGGCGAAGGCGGGUCUCUGGACAGUUCCUGACACUGAGGCACGAAGGCCAGGGGAGCAAACAGG
rnacentral:rRNA from 1 species